rnacentral:lncRNA from 1 species
UGAUCUCUCAGGAGGGGAAUUUCUGUCACAUUCUCACACUGAAGCCUCCCACAGAGGAUAUCUGAGAUGUUACAUUGUACGUAUUUAGUAGCCUUGAGACCACAGUUACCAAAACGGUCUCCUUGGGUGUUCACUGCCCUGUAGCAAAUCUGUUUUGCACUCUUGGCUUCUUCGCCAAAGAUUUUCCUACACUAUUCAUUGCAGUUAUUGCAUCUCUUUCCUAGCAGUAGCUGCUACCUGUGCAGGAGGUCCCAUCCUGCAUAUACACAUCUUCUGGACAUUGAUGCGAUGUCCCAUUGCACCAUUCUGGAAGGGCCCAUUCAUUUUUCUCUUUUCUACACAUGGAUCCUGCUGGCAGCAAGUCACAGUUUUUGCAACAGAGGCCAAAAGUACAGACAGCCCCUGGUCUCAGAGUGCAGCCUAGUUGACAACAGGGAUCCUUUGCACACUUAAACGAGGAACCACAGUCACACUCUUCUCCUUCUUCUACCACAUUGUGUCCACAGCUUGUAUACUUAAAGAUAUUCUCUGGAUUUGGUGUAAUGUGCAAACAACUUUUUUUUUGUAACAGUGUUCCAAUAUACAGCAUAACUGUAGUUGCUAAAUCAGAAUUGCAGAGGCUUUCCUUGGAAACAUUAUGCACCUUUCACUCCCACAUUUACAAUUGUUGUCAUCAUGUAAUAUACCCAAAUUAUGACCAAUCUCAUGUGACACAAUAUAUCCAAAAUCAUGCAAAUUAUCACCCAGAAAACUAUCAACUCCACAAUUAUAAUGUUGAUCACCUACCGUUACAACAUAGGCUAAGCCAAGAUGGGGACCAAAAUUCUCCUUGACAAAAAUAUGUGCAAUAUCAUGGGGCAAGCGGGUAUUAAAACUAUUUUUCUUCCAUUUUCAAAAUUCAUCCAAGAGUGCAGCUCUGUCACCUGUUGGGAAGAGGUUUUGUUCAGACCAGAUCUCAAUUCCAGUCAAAACCACAUUAAUAUCCAGUAAAGCUAAGAAGCCACCUAUUUCAUUGGCAACAGUGCUUCAUUCUGCACAUUUGAGGUAUUACUUUGUUGAUGAAGAUAUUGAUUGUGGUCUACAAUCAUUGCCAGUUCAAGAAAACGUCUGUGGGUCCACCAGCUUUCAUACCCACUUUACAUCAAAGUAUGGUUAGCACUCUCUUGAAACUUUAGUUGUCGUGUUAUUUCUUCCUCUGUUAAUCCACAUCUCCUGAGUGGAAAUUCUGUCUCCUCUUUGUCCAUCUUAUAUAGCAGAUGUUCAAAUGAGGUAGAAGGCCUUUUGGGCUUGAUUUCAUAAACAAUAUUAUUUAUCUUAAAUAUUCCUCGAAAGCCCCUCAGACAUGUGCUGAGGGCAGCCAGGGAUUCUGAUACCCCUUCCACAUAACCCUGAUAGUAGCAGUCAUUUUGGACAAAAGGGUAAUCCUCCAGGAGAACACUCCAUUUUGUGUAGGUGAACACUGGGAGGUGUGUAGAGAACAAAAGCUUGUUGGCCUUCAUGUGGAGAACAUGUCUCUGGCCUCCAAAACGCAGGCUGUAAGAGAGCCAGCUUGGCAGCUUCACUUCUCUGCCAGUGCCUCUUAACCUCAAGGGUAUGACUACUUCUGGAGGACCAUGGUGUUGGGAGUGCCCCACAUAGGAUGACCCAGAGUAUCAGAAGCACCCCCACCCAGAAUAGCAGGAGAGAGAUCCUCACACGCUCCAGGGCCUCACGAUCUGGAGCCAUUGGUGAGAGCAAGAGUAUGCAGGUCAGGUUGCAUCACUGCUGCAUCUUGUCCUUCUGAACUGGCUUUAUGCAGCACUGACCUUUAAUCUGUUUUCUGACAGAAUCACACUACCAGAGCUGUAGCACUAAGACAAAAAGACCAGAGACAGGGUUGAUUAUUAGGAGCAAACCAAGACAGAGGGAAAAGAGAAAGGUAUGGGUUAAAAUGGAUGAUGUUUGGCUAAAGACAUGGCUCAGCAUACUGCAGUGCAUUUGGUCUUAAGUAAUAGUGAGUCAGCAGAGGGAUACUGGGUGUCCAAAAGAACAGCGAUUGGCAUAGGUUGACACUUGUUGAACCUAGAUGAAAGACACAUGGUGGUUCAGUCAUAGUGUUCUCUAAAUAUAUAAAAGUGUGUGGACAUUUCCAUAUAAUUAUAUAAAACGAAAGGGUCUUAAUGGAAAGGGGAACAUAUGUCCUGUUUUAUUUAUGUAUAUUGAUUUGGUAUAAUUAUCAUUUUAUAGUGAUUCUUCUCAGUUUCCAAUGAUAAAUUAUUUCAUCACAUUAUUUGGGAGAGAUAUAUAAAAAUAUUCACAUAUAUUGUUAUUUUCUCUCAUUCAUUUAACUAAUUACUUGCUCUACUUUCUUUCUGUUUUCCCUUUUUAAUUUAAUUCUGUUCAACUGUAAGGGUGAAGUAUCAAUUGGCUUAUACAUAUAUUAGUAUGUUCACACAACAAUAGGCAGUUUUUUACUUGAGAUAUGAAGACCAUGGGUUAUGGUGGAUGUUGUUCAAAUAUGUUUAUAUUUGAUUAUACUCUUAGAAAGAACAACAUUUUCAAAUCCUCUGGAAAUAUGAAAUUGAAGGAAAUCAAAUGAGAUGGCAAAGUAAAAGUUAGAAAUGGGAGUACAGUGGCCCUCUGUAUCUAUAAUUUCCACUUCUCUUGAUUAAACUGUGGACCAAAAAUAUGUAGAAAAAAAAUUCCAGAGAGCUCUGAAAAGCAAAGCUUUAGCUAGCAGCACAUAGGCAAAUGUUUACAUAACAUUUACAUUCUGUUUCAGACUCUAUAUAGCAUUUACUUUGUAUUAAUUAUUGCAAGUAAUCUGGAGAUGAUUUGAAGUAUAAAGGACUGCAUAGUAGCUUAUACGCAAAUACUAUACCAUUUUACAUAAGGGUCGUGAGCAUCAGUGGAUUUUGGUAUCUGUGGGAGAUAUUUGGACCAAUCCCCAUGGAUAACAAGGGACAACUAUAUACUGAAGGCAGAAUAAAUGCAGAAAUGCAAUGAAAUUCAAUCAAUCAUAAAAAGAGGGAGGAAAAGGUUGGAGAAGGUAUUAUCUUCCUACAAGGGCAAAAACAUCUAAGUUCCCUUAUUUUUAGAAUUACAAGGCAACCAACUCCGAAGUUCAACCUUCCCUUGUACAUACUUCUUAAAAAGAACAUUAUCCUAUGUGAAAAUACAUUUAUAAAAAUUUUAUGAGAUUAGUAGAAACAUACUAUCACACAUUUGUGAAAAUAAGAAAUCUGGUGCUAACACAGUGCCUGUCAACACUGAUACUUUACAUUCUUCCUUGAAUAAUGUAUUAAUAAACUACAUAAUGUGCAGACAUUGUUCUGCACACUUAGGAAACAUAAAGGAGUAAAACUUAAAUAAUUUGAUGCUUCUGACUACAAAUUUGGACAGAGUGAUGGGCAAAAUUAAACGUUGGGUAUUUUUAAAAUUGCAUUCAACAUUUUAUGUAUAAAAUGCCUAUUUUUAUUUACUGAAUAUCAACAGUCUGCAUCAAAUCAUUAAAGUACUGACAGUGCUUAAAGUAAUGACAUCAAGAACCUCCAGACAAGUUGAAAAAACUGAAGAAAGUGAAGUCAGCUAUGAGAAAUGUACAACACACUGAGCGAAUGCAGAUUCCAUAGUAGGUCAUACAAAAUGAAAAUCGCCUAAUUCAGGACCUAUCAUCUCCUGGACCAUGUACCAAUUUCUGCUCAUUUUAGGGAAAAAAACCCUCUUGGUUCUACAUAACUUUGACCUUUUUUCUGGAAUCCAUUUUCUGUCCCUUUCGGAUUCUUACUUUCAUGGAAAGGAAAGAUUUACUCACACUUUUAUCCUUAUUCCUACUUAAUUCUGUUAAACCUAUCUGUCAGCAGCAUGAAGCCCAGUAGAGAGGAAGAAUUUCCCCCAUAUGCCAUGCAGACUAGACCUCUGGUUACAGUUUGCUUGGAUUACCUAAACCACUUUCAAUCCACUGAACAAGUAGCCAUCUCAUUACACCAUUAUUUUAUUUUUUUAAAUUUUUUUGCAGAGUUUAGUCUUUAUUAUUAUUUUUUCUUUUUAGGGCUGCACCUGUGGCAUAUGGAGGUUCCCAGGCUAGGAGUGUAAUCGGAGCUAUAGCUGCUGGCCUAUGCCACAGCCCCAGCAACGCGGGAUCCUUAACCCACUGAGUGAGACCAGGGAUUGAACCUGCAUCUUCAUAGAUCCUAGUCAGAUUCUUUAACCACUGAGCCACAACAGGAACUCUUCAUUACAUCAUUAUUUAUCUUUCUUUCCUACUCUUUCAUGAACUUCCAGUCAAUCCUACCAAAACCUAAAAAUGUGGGCAUCUGAUUUACUAAUUUACUCUCCACCAGUUGUUAACAGACCUCAAGUCCCCUUCAAGGAGAUUAAACCCCAAAGCCUCUGGCCAUGUCUCAUUGUAAUGCCCCUUGCCCCACCUUGAGCAACCUGGGCUGCUCAUUCCCUGCUAGGGAAGGAAUGUUGCUCACUCCUAAUGCUGCCUCUAUAUAACCCAUUCCGCAUGCAAAUAAGGCAUUCUGCCUGAAACCAAUCAGAAGAUCAAAUAUGCUCCAUACAGAGAUCAGGCAACACUGAGCCCUUACUAAUGGUAUAGGGGGCUGCAGUGGGAGAAAUCAGGUUUGCACUCAGGUCUGCAGCGUGGGGAUAUAAAAACAAUUGUAAAGUGAGGUAGGCCCUCUUUUUAACCCCCUCCAGUGCACUGAGAAUGUACUUCCUUUCGCUUCAAUAAAUUUGUAAAACGCCCACCGUUUCAAUGCUUUGCUCUGGCCAGGCAGGGACCAGGGAAACUGCAAAUCUAUUUUUCUGGAACAAAUUCUAUCCCAGUAAUUUUAGCCAUAUCUUCUUAUAAGCAAGCAUGUGGACAACCCAUACAACACUCAUUUUAUUUUACCUUUACAACUAUUUUCAACAACUUUUAGCCAUUCACCGCUGUCCGUGAACUCUCUCUUAUUAGCACCCAUGACAGUUUUCAUGCAUACAUAUAUAAAAUUAAUCGUAAUUAUUAAUAAUUUUCUCUUCAAAUUAAUAAAGGAAUUAAAUAUUCAUUCUAUAAUUUCCCCCACAUUUUAGGUUCAGUCCAUCCAUCUUCACAGCCUAGCUCUAGACUCCAUUAGUUCAACCACUGUCACCUAAAAUCCUCAGCUCAAACUAGAUUUAUCCUUUUUGUUUGCUUUCCCCAGUCCUACAACAAACUGCCAGCACUGCUGGGAAAAUAAAAGUAUUUAUUUUUAUUUUCCCAGCAGUGUUGGGAAACACUUUUAGAGGAAUGUGUAAAAGGUGGAAACUACAAAUUGGAAUGACAUAGCCUGAUACUUUAAAGAAUGAAAUCUUGAACAAAUAUUUUAUUUCAACACUUUGUGCUUAUAAUGAUUUGAUCUUUGUUGUCCACAAUUUCCUUAGCUUUCCUCUUCCAAAUUACUUCAUUAAUACAUCGGGCCCUCAGUUGAAAACUACAUUAUCUUUGUUUUCUCAAAUUGUUACUAUUAAAUUUCAAAAAUGUUUGAGUUCCCAUCGUGGCUCAGCAGUUAAUGAGCCUGACUAGCGUCCAUGAGAAUGCGGGUUUGAUCCCUGGCCUUGCUCAGCGGGUUAAGGAUCUGGCAUUGCUGUGGUGAGGGUAGCAGUCAUGGCUCAGAUCCCACAUUGCUGUGGCUGUGACGUAGGCUGGCAGCUACAGCUCCAAAUGGACCCUUAGCCUGG